rnacentral:rRNA from 1 species
AUUGAACGCUGGCGGCAGGCCUAACACAUGCAAGUCGAACGAGUGGCGGACGGGUGAGUAAUGUCUGGGAAACUGCCUGAUGGAGGGGGAUAACUACUGGAAACGGUAGCUAAUACCGCAUACCAUCGGAUGUGCCCAGAUGGGAUUAGCUAGUAGGUGGGGUAACGGCUCACCUAGGCGACGAUCCCUAGCUGGUCUGAGGGGAUGACCGGCCACACUGGAACUGGAAAACGGUCCGAACUCCUACGGGAGGCAGAAGUGGGGAAUAUUGCAAAAUGGGCGCAAGCCUGAUGCAGCCAUGCGGCGUGUAGAAAGAAGGCCUUCGGGUUGUAAAGUACUUUCAGCGGGGAGGCGUUACCCGCAGAAGAAGCACCGGCUAACUCCGUGCCAGCAGCCGCGGUAAGAC